rnacentral:rRNA from 1 species
GACGAACGCUGGCGGCGUGCUUAACACAUGCAAGUCGAACGGAAAGGCCCUGCUUUUGUGGGGUGCUCGAGUGGCGAACGGGUGAGUAACACGUGAGUAACCUGCCCUUGACUUUGGGAUAACUUCAGGAAACUGGGGCUAAUACCGGAUAGGAGCUCCUGCUGCAUGGUGGGGGUUGGAAAGUUUCGGCGGUUGGGGAUGGACUCGCGGCUUAUCAGCUUGUUGGUGGGGUAGUGGCUUACCAAGGCUUUGACGGGUAGCCGGCCUGAGAGGGUGACCGGCCACAUUGGGACUGAGAUACGGCCCAGACUGCUACGGGAGGCAGCAGUGGGAAAUAUUGCACAAUGGGCGGAAGCAUGAUGCAGCAACGCCGGGUGCGGGAUGACGGCCUUCGGGGUGUAAACCGCGUUCGCCUGUGACGAAGCGUGAGUGACGGUAAUGGGUAAAGAAGCAACGGCUAACUACGUG